UCGCCCCCUCCCCCAUUCUGGCUGAUUCAGUGGGAUAGCCAGGAACAUCUGUGCUCUCCUGGCCCUUAGGCCUUCCCAGCAGUGUGGGACUGUAGCUCUGGAAAAACAUCUGGCUGCUAUUACAUCCUGCUCCCCCUGAUGUGGUGGUUUUGGUUUCCCAUAUCAUGGGCCUGCAGUGGUGUAUAACCUGCGUUGCUGUGAGAAAGGCCUUUCCGUGAAGCCAGUUUGCAGGGUGCAGAGGUCUCCCCUGAACUGUGUAGAGAGCAUGGAGAACACAAAUAGGUGCUUGAGCAGCCUGAAGAAAGAAAACAUCCCCCCUCUCCUGAGUAGCUAUCUGAAAUCAGAGCACAGAAAAGUCCAGAAGAACGUGAACGUAAAUCUGCAUUUGGGCACUGGAAGCCGAAUGGAAGCUACUCAUCGCUGGGCCAAUGCUGCUGCGUUCACUGUAACCCCUGGCUGGGAACUGGAGCAAGGCAGGAGUGCACCAGCUGUAAAAAGCAAAGGCCUCAAGAAGAGGGAUCCCAGCCUGAUACAGACUAAUCUCUCUUGCCCUUCUCAGCCUUUCAGGGCUGCUACCAACCAGCUCUUCACCUCCUGCUCCCAGCAGCAAAAUAACCUCUACUGCAGGCUCCAGCGGCGCAGCUCUGAAAAGGUGGCAUGUGGCAAUCCCCCGCUGCCUUCAUCAUCUUCACCCAACGUGGAUCUUCAGCAGAGACGGUCCUGUUCUGACACAGCUGGGGAGAAUGUGAGUGCCAACCUUGCAGAGAGGAGCCUGCAGUACAAGAAGAAACCAAAGGAGGGGUCUAGGUCUAGCCCCUGGGACCAGUCCUCUGUGCACUCCACCUGCCAUAACCUUCCAGAGGGAGGAAACCUCUGGAAGCAGCAACAUGGACCUUUCGCUGCUUAUGAUGCAGACCAUGGGAAUCCUUUACUAGCCAGUACAGAUUCCCUCUCUCCAGCUGUAGUGCCUGUAAUCUCCUGUGCUGGACUUGUCCCCCACCACAGACCAAUGGUAUGUCUCUCUCCAGGGAGCUCCAGAGGAAGUGUGAAGUCCUGUUGUCCAGGGCCUGCCCUCACCUUGGACGAACUGAGUCCCUCCAGCUUGGCCGAGUCCCUUCCCAGCUCUGCGGCCCUUCAGUCUCUCUUGCAGUCCUCAAAGACUUCUGCCAGCCUGCACUGCUCAAUGCAGAGGCUUAAGCAAGAAGCUGCUUUAAUGGGGAUAUGGAACUCCCUCCCUUUGGAGUCCAGGUCUUCUCCACUAGCUUGCAGGUGGUGCUUUGCCCCUGAGGUUUCUACACCUGCUGUCCUGAGUGUGGGAGAGCAGCUUGCUAGAGAACAGAGCAGUGCUAAGCAGGCUAGAAUGAAAUGGGAUCCCCCAUUUGUUAGGGAUUGGGGUCUUGGUUCAGUGACUGGUGAUGUGGGGGAUGCCGAACCUACCUCUCUCUGUCACAGGUGCAGAAAUACUGAAUUAUUUGUGCAAAGAACCAAAGUUUCAGGUGGAAUCUGGCCAGAAACCCUCUGUGCCAGUGCCAGCUCAGUCUACCUGGUUGAUACAGACGCAGGUAGUCCCUAUGACUGCUCUCCCUACCUCAGGUAUAAAUCUCAGGCACAGCACACUCCACAAGGGGACAGCACGUUCAGCCAUGUAAAAACUCAUUUCUCUGAAAAGCCACUUGGAGUGGAAGAGUCCUGUGCCAGAGCGUCACCCCGCGCCAUGCGUUGGAGGAAGGUCCUUCCAUCUGGCUCAGAUCCAGAUGGUUUGCAGAUGUCGCUGGAGGCCCAGAAGGAUGGGACUCCGAUGAAUGUCAGUGUAGCUGUGUUUGAGACUCCAAGGGAAGUGCAUCUGAGAGUCCAGUCUCCUUCUGGAGAUGCAGGGAUCGGUCAAGUCCAGCAGCUUUGUAUGGGCUCCAUAGACGUUGGCAUCUCUGAGCCUCCUGGCGAAGACCAGGGAGAGACAGCAGAGGCAUGUGACAUCGUAUUGUCUGCAGUCAGGAGAAUAGCCAUGAUGAAUAACAGGCAGUCUGUGCCUAAUCCCAGCUACAGCCCUUUUAGGGUAACAGCCAGGCAAGGUCCCAGUGAAUAUUCUUUGGUUGCCACUGGCGUGGAUGAUGUGAACUCUGCCAAUGAGGGAGGAAAUGAAGACCGCUCCCAGGAGGCCUUCUGUAGGGAUCAGGGACUCAACACUGACUGGGACCAAUCUGAGAAGCUUCUUGCAGAAAGGAGCAGCAGAGAAUUGAAGAACUGUGAGGAAAGCAGCCAGGUGCAGGACAGGAGACUAGCAUGGGUGAGGACCCUCUCAGUGCACAAUAUCCAAGUUCUCCUGUACCCUCUUGUGUUCAUCUCCACCUUUUGCCAGGAGCAGCUGGAGGUGAAAAAUGGAGGUGCUGAGGGAAAGGUGGUGUGGGGAUGAAUCUCAUGGCCCCGAAUGGUG
rnacentral:lncRNA from 1 species